rnacentral:rRNA from 1 species
CAGCCGCCGCGGUAAUACGAAGGGUGCAAGCGUUAAUCGGAAUUACUGGGCGUAAAGCGUGCGUAGGCGGUGAGUUAAGUCUGCUGUGAAAUCCCCGGGCUCAACCUGGGAAUGGCAGUGGAUACUGGCUCGCUAGAGUGUGUCAGAGGAUGGUGGAAUUCCCGGUGUAGCGGUGAAAUGCGUAGAGAUCGGGAGGAACAUCAGUGGCGAAGGCAGCCAUCUGGGACAACACUGACGCUGAGGCACGAAAGCGUGGGGAGCAAACAGGAUUAGAUACCCCCGUAGUCCCUGUCUCUUAUAC